rnacentral:lncRNA from 1 species
UUUUUAAUAAAUGAGCCGAAUACGAGCCGGCUUGUUAAAGUAUCGAGCCGAAAAAUACAACUCGUAUUCGGCUCGUUAAUAAACGAGUAGAACACGAGCUAGCUCACGAGCUGAUCAACGAACAAUAAGUUAAAAAUUCAGCUCAUGUUCGGCUCGUUUACUAAAUGAGCGAUUCGAUCUUGAGCUCAUUUCGAGUCGAACACGAGCUUACUCGCGAACAACGAGCUGGAUUGCCACCCCUACUUGCAACCGUGCACUUCACAAUGACAUCAUA